UCUUCUUCUGCAAAUCUAAUCAGAUAGCGACGAAGCCAUAAUUUUGUGUUUAAAGUUCCUCUCAACCUCGUUCACGCCUCACUGAUUCUUUGAUUUGCAAACUAGGGUUCCAGUGACGAAGGCGAAUCGAAGGGGGAAAUUAGGGGUUUUCAUCUUCUCAAACCAUUUGAACACCUAAAAGGUUGUUAAUUGUAACAAUCGAG
rnacentral:lncRNA from 1 species